UAGUGAAAGAGCUCGCGUCCUGGCAUUUUCCGACAGCCCUAGCACGUUUCCCCGCUCGGAAGCAAUAUGCCACCUGCUGUUUCUCGUCGUUGUAGACUUGAAAUCGUAGAAUGCAUGUUUUUCAGCGCAUUCAAUAGGUACGUGUUAUGUUUUUACAGCGUGAUAAUAGUGGUUUCUUUCCUUGUUUGAAAAUUGCUAUUGUAAUGUCAGCCACAGCGUUUGUGACAUAUAUAGCAUAGCCCCGCAAGGGCGUCUGCGUCAGCAGGUGUUUGGUGUGUUGCGGCACCACGGACCCGAGAAAAUGUGUUCUGGAACCUCUCGCAUGUAGCCGUGCGCGGCUUAGUCGUGUCUGGGGAAAGGGGGAUCCUGGGGGUUAAGCCGAUGCAGGGUAUUCAGACCUUUAAGGCCCCCCGGCGGAGGAAACGCACCUCUUUGACUUCGGCUUCACAUAGACGGUGCCUCUAGACUUACCCGCCUGGAGGAAAUCGUUCUUGGAUACCAAAGAACCAAUAUGGACAGUUCAUACAACCGGACCCACAGAUCGUCGAUGCGAAGUUGACGAGGUUGAAGACGUGACAAAUGCUUCAGCUUAUUUCAAGCGACAGUUUUAUCUUGGAGAGAAAAAGACGUCUACCAGAAUUUUAGGAACCUUCAGUUCACAUCGAAAGAAGCACAUGGAUAUCUAUAUUCCAGGUAGCCGUUACACUGUUUGGGAGGAUAUUCUCUACCUGAGUGCCAACUUAGACUGUGCGGUGAUUAUGACUACGACGAAACUUGAGAGAAAGGAAAAACACACGUAUGACGUCCGAGUGAGGAAUUCGUCCAUAUCAUGUAGCCCUGGCCGUGAUUGUCUUGCCAAAUUCAGGGAGGUUGAGAAGUGGGAUCAAAUCAUCUACACGAGAGAUUGCCAGCACAUACUUGAUAAAAAGUCUGCAUCGCUUUUAAUGAAUAAAAUAAUAUAAAAAGAA